rnacentral:rRNA from 1 species
GAUGAACGCUAGCGGCAGGCCUAACACAUGCAAGUCGAGGGGUAGCAGGAUUAAGCUUGCUUAAUUGCUGACGACCGGCGCACGGGUGCGUAACGCGUAUGCAACCUACCUUAUACUGGGGUAUAGCCCGGAGAAAUUCGGAUUAAUCCCCCAUAGUACUAAUGAAUCGCAUGGUUUAUUAGCUAAAGCAUUGCGGUAUAAGAUGGGCAUGCGUCCUAUUAGCUAGAUGGUGAGGUAACGGCUCACCAUGGCUACGAUGGGUAGGGGGCCUGAGAGGGUGGUCCCCCACACUGGUACUGAGACACGGACCAGACUCCUACGGGAGGCAGCAGUGAGGAAUAUUGGUCAAUGGGCGCAAGCCUGAACCAGCCAUGCCGCGUGCAGGAAGAAUGCCCUAUGGGUUGUAAACUGCUUUUAUUUGGGAAUAAACCUCUUUACGUGUAGAGAGCUGAAGGUACCAAAUGAAUAAGCACCGGCUAACUCCGUGCCAGCAGCCGCAGUAA